GUCCCUCCCCUUUUGGGCUGGGGGGUUUCCACCCUUUUUGCAAUCAUCUCUUGCAGGCUGGAAUUCUGCCAGCCUGCAAGAGCUCUUUGCAAAAAUGAGGAAUCUGCUGGUUUCUCUGC